rnacentral:ncRNA from 3 species
UCACAGUGAACCGGUCUCUUUC